rnacentral:rRNA from 1 species
CUAUACUUGAUCAGGUUGAAGUCAGGGGAAACCCUGAUGGAAGACCGAAACAGUUCUGACGUGCAAAUCGAUUGUCAGAAUUGAGUAUAGGGGCGAAAGACCAAUCGAACCAUCUAGUAGCUGGUUCCCUCCGAAGUUUCCCACAGGAUAGCUUGAACGCCGACGGUUUUGUCAGGUAAAGCGAAUGAUUAGAGGCCUUGGGGCUGAAACAGCCUUAACCUAUUCUCAAACUUUAAAUAUGUAAGAAGCUCUUGUUGCUUAGUUGAACGUGAGCAUUAGAAUGAAGCGUUACUAGUUGGCCAUUUU